rnacentral:misc_RNA from 1 species
AUAACAACCCCCUCGAGCUACCCUUUUGGUGUGGCUGCGGUGUUGGGGCUCGCCACAUCGGCGGCCCUUAAAGACAGUGGCGGUGCCGACGUCGGCUCUACGCGUAGUAAAAUAGCUCGCGACAGAACGGCGAUGGUGACUAGCCAAAACAAAACAAGAAGUCUCUCAUGACUUCUUAAGAUCAUAGG